CAGAGGGGGCAAGCGUAGUUCGGAAUUACUGGGCGUAAAGGGCGCGUAGGCGGCCUGCUAAGUCGAACGUGAAAUCCCUGGGCUCAACCCAGGAACUGCGUCCGAUACUGGUUGGCUUGAAUCCGGGAGAGGGAUGUGGAAUUCCAGGUGUAGCGGUGAAAUGCGUAGAUAUCUGGAGGAACACCGGUGGCGAAGGCGACAUCCUGGACCGGUAUUGACGCUGAGGCGCGAAAGCCAGGGGAGCAAACGGGAUUAGAUACCCCGGUAGUCCUGGCCCUAAACGAUGAAUGCUUGGUGUGGCGGGUAUCGAUCCCUGCCGUGCCGAAGCUAACGCAUUAAGCAUUCCGCCUGGGGAUACGGUCGCAAGGCUG
rnacentral:rRNA from 1 species